GCUACACAUGCAGUCGACGAUGAGCCGGAGCUUGCUCUGGUGGAUUAGUGGCGAACGGGUGAGUAACACGUGAGUAACCUGCCCUUGACUCUGGAAUAAGCGUUGGAAACGACGUCUAAUACCGGAUACGAGCUUCCGCCGCAUGGUGAGGAGCUGGAAAGAAUUUCGGUCAAGGAUGGACUCGCGGCCUAUCAGGUAGUUGGUGAGGUAAUGGCUCACCAAGCCUACGACGGGUAGCCGGCCUGAGAGGGUGACCGGCCACACUGGAACUGAGACACGGUCCAGACUCCUACGGGAGGCAGCAGUGGGGAAUAUUGCACAAUGGGCGCAAGCCUGAUGCAGCAACGCCGCGUGAGGGACGACGGCCUUCGGGUUGUAAACCUCUUUUAGUAGGGAAGAAGCGAAAGUGACGGUACCUGCAGAAAAAGCACCGGCUAACUACGUGCCAGCAGCCGCGGUAAUACGUAGGGUGCAAGCGUUAUCCGGAAUUAUUG
rnacentral:rRNA from 1 species